GUGGGGGAUCUUGCUGGCGGUUUCUGUGUACCUGUGGCCUUUUGAAGCACAUGGCCUAUAGUGCAAGGAGAAGUCACGCGUGGCGUUUCAUAAGGAUCGAGUGCUGGUGUGCGAUAAAUAACCAACAGAUGUGGAGAACCUAGGGGGAAAAAACAGCACAAAAGAGUCAUUGAAGACAUUACUUCCUGCACAGCUUUGCAGCAAGCAUGGAAUGGAAGAAAUUCUGCACCCCACGUGCUCGUGGCUGUGCAGGGAAUGGACAGCCACUGCUGCUUAUUGUUGCAGGAUAAGUUUUUUAAUGGCAAAUAAAUUAUUCAUCGGCAUGUAAAAUAAUACCCUCAGCCUUAACUAACGUGGUAGUAAAAAUAACCUCUGGCAAAGAGCUCCUACUUUCAAGGUUUGGUUCAUUAAUAAACAAUACGUGAGCAAGGAGGCACGGUGCAUCCUGGAAGGCCCAGUGAUGUGAUGCGGAGGGGUGGGGGUGAGUGUGAUGCGUGCAGCUGUCUGGGGGAAGCGCACCUUUCCUAGCGUGUAAGGCGUGUGUGCAAAUGCCAUGGAUAAUUAAUACAACAGUUACUUCAGCAGCAUCAAAAGCCAUGCUGUUUAAUUCAGCAUCCUAUGAGCGCUGGGUGACAGCGGAGAGGAGCAUUAUUUGUGGCAAUGAGUGACAGAGGGCAUCGAGCAUUCUUCUGCAAUGCUCUUGCAUCUCUCUGAUGGCACACUGGGUGC